rnacentral:rRNA from 1 species
AUGUACUUUCUGUUAAAAACCAAAACCAUUUAUUUUUGUUUCUAUAAAAAUUACGUUCUGUACAGAAACUUUAUUUGGAUGUUUUGGAGUUUUUCGAAGUCUUUCAUUUGUUUUCUUUUUGGAUCUUUGCUUGUAUGCUUAUGUAUGUUAUUGCUUGCUUACGCUAGAUCAUCCGGAGUGCGAAGGCAAGUUCAUACAUUGAUCAUAAUUUUCAAUACCCAGUUUUUACUAUGCAUUAGUUUCACCCUCAAAGAUUGCAUCAGUAGGUUUGAGAACAUGUGGUUAUGCUAUGUAGUUCAUGUGGUAGGAAUCUAUGACCUUUGA